rnacentral:rRNA from 1 species
CCUACGGGUGGCAGCAGUGAGGAAUAUUGGUCAAUGGACGGAAGUCUGAAGCAGCCAUGCCGCGUGCAGGAAGACGGCUCUAUGAGUUGUAAACUGCUUUUGUACACGGGUAAACCUGAAUACGUGUAUUCAGCUGAAAGUACUGUACGAAUAAGGAUCGGCUAACUCCGUGCCAGCAGCCGCGGUAAUACGGAGGAUCCAAGCGUUAUCCGGAUUUAUUGGGUUGAAAGGGUGCGUAGACGGAUUGAUAAGUUAGAGGUGAAAGGUCCGAGCUGAACUCUGGAACUGCCGCUAAGACCGUUGGUCGAGAGAGUAGGUGGGGUAGGUGGAAUGGAUGGUGUAGCGGUGAAAUGCUUAGAGAUCA